rnacentral:rRNA from 1 species
GUGGGGAAUCUUGCGCAAUGGGCGAAAGCCUGACGCAGCAACGCCGCGUGAGGGAAGACGGUCUUUGGAUUGUAAACCUCUUUCAGCAGGGACGAAAACAGACGGUACCUGCAGAAGAAGCCCCGGCUAACUACGUGCCAGCAGCCGCGGUAAUACGUAGGGGGCAAGCGUUGUCCGGAAUCAUUGGGCGUAAAGAGCGUGUAGGCGGCUCGACAAGUCUGGUGUGAAAUCUUCCGGCUUAACCGGAAGCGGUCACUGGAAACUAUCGGGCUUGAAUCCGGAAGAGGAGUGUGGAAUUCCUGGUGUAGCGGUGGAAUGCGCAGAUAUCAGGAGGAACACCAAUGGCGAAGGCAGCACUCUGGUACGUGAUUGACGCUGAGACGCGAAAGCGUGGGGAGCAAACAGGAUUAGAUACCCUGGUAGUCC